ACCUACUUAACUCAGGGGUUAGAGUAUUGCUUUCAUACGGCGAGAGUCAUUGGUUCAAAUCCAAUAGUAGGUA
rnacentral:tRNA from 1 species